AUAAUUUAUACGAUAAUUUUAUUUCAUUAAAAAUUUCCUUUUUUUUAAACCGUAUUUAUGACGUCACUCAGCAGCUCAUCCAUAGAUUUCAACUAAAUCCAAUACAUUGUAGAUAGGAGAACGCACUCCAAACUUAAAGAAUUACUCCAAUUUGAAUACUUAAAAUAAAGUAGGGAAAAAAAAAAAAAUUCACAGCUUUGAAGUAAUUUUUCACACAAUCAUUGGGUCUCAGGGCCAUUAAAUUCACACAAUCAUUGGGACUUUUAAAAUCUGUCCCAAUUAUUGGGUCUCAGAGACUUUAAAUUCACACAAGCAUUGUGUCCCAGAGACGUUUAAUCUGUCCCAAUCAUUUGGGGGCUUAAUGAGAUUGAAUCUCACACAAUAAUUUGGGCCUUAAAGAUAUAACUAAUAAAGUGCAAGUAUAACAAAGUAUUUCUAAACAGCUCUGCAAGAAGGAGAAGAACAAAUAUAUUCAUUAAACAAAGAGCUGUUUUAAUUUUAAAUACAAAAUACCCUUCAUUCACAUUCACAAGUCAGACAAGGUGGCAAUUUUUAAACACUGUAAUAAAAACAUAAUCGCAGUCAAGUCACAAAAGCCAAAUUAAAUUGCAGUCAUUUCAUGUUUUAAAAAAAUUGCAUCUGAAUAACUUGGAAGUUUGUUUUGAUAGUUUGCAGGAAAUAAAAAAAAUUCAACCAGAACAAACACAAGUGGGCCAAUUAAUGCAAUGAGACUGCGUUAUUUAGACCUCUGACUCUCAACAGGUUCAAACAAGAUAUAAUUAAAACUUCAAAACAAAUGAACAGCUUUUGAUUGGUCAACAUAAUGUAGCAGUUAUUAAAAAUUGUCAAAUUUUAAUUCAAGAAGUAAGUAUUCACGGUUUAAUGAAGAUAAAUGAACAUACUUUUGUUAGUAUUAAAUAAAAAAUCAGUGAUAUAAAAAUGGGCUUUUCAAAGUAAUUUUGGGUAUUGGGUUACCCCCCCCCCCCCCCCCC